rnacentral:rRNA from 1 species
GUCGGGAGUUAGGAAAUGCAGGUUGGUUAAUACCCAACCUGUUUGACAAAGGCCCCAAAGGAAGCCACGGCUAACUCUGUGCCAGCAGCCGCGGUAAUACAGAGGUGGCAAGCGUUGUUCGGUAUUAUUGGGCGUAAAGAGCACGUAGGUGGUUUUGUAAGUCAGAUGUGAAAGCCUUCUGUUCAAAGGAAUAACGGCAUCUGAAACUGCAGAUCUUGAGCGUAGGAGGGGAGAGUGGAACUUCUGGU